rnacentral:lncRNA from 1 species
GAAAAGGGAAGAAAAGAAGAAGAACAAAACCCUAGUUAAGAAAUUCAAGAGAAAUUCACCAAAUUUCAAGGAAUCAAGCCAUCAAAGGUGAAAUUUCGUAAUUCUAGCUUGUGAUCUACCUUUCCUAUGCAUUAUUUUACAUUUUCCAUGGUUGAAUCACAAGAUAUCAUGAAGGAUAGUGUGUUGAUCAAACCUUAGGAGAGAGAAUUUGAUGAUGAAUUUAGUUAGAGAACAUGUUAUUCUAGUGUUUUUAGUUGUUUGGUGAUGUGUAGUAUGAAAAGCAAGCAAGAAAAAUUCACGUUCUUACAUCACCUUCAUUGGCCGAAUAUUCCACAUGGAAUAUUGAUGCUGAAUUUGAUUGAAUUUCAAGUGAUUUGAUUAGGAAUGAAUGAUUUAUGGUGUGAGAAUUAAUCAUGAAAAAUUAUAUUGUUAGUGCACUCACCAUGGCCGAAAUUUUCAAGAGAAAAUGUGAGGAUGAUUUUGCCACAUUUCAAGUUAUUUAAAUUGUGUUUAAUGAUUUGGAGUAUUGGGAGAGAAAUGGAAUUAUUUGGAAUUGAAUUGGACGUAUUGGCCAAUUAAUCGGGUAAUAGAUCGAAUUAGGUCAAUACCAUUUUAUUUAGAUACAUAAUUGAAUUUAUAUUGAACACCGUAUUUAGAUAGUUACCCGAGUAUUUCACAUCCCAUUUCAUGCAUAAGUAUAGAGCCUGAAUUGGUUUUACAACGGUUUAGCACAAAUGUAGCAAAUUGCUUAUUGUGCAUUAUGUCUAGGUGGUGAGCAUUCUGGCAAGAGUAAAGAGGUAGUAUCCAAGGAUCAAGAAUCAGAGUAUCCCGAAUUCGAUUCCCAUUACAGUGAGAAACCUUAUCAUCAUCUUGAUUAUCUGAAGUGAAUUUUAAUUCAUUUUUGUGAUUUUAUGGAAAAUGAG